GAUGAACGCUGGCGGCGUGCCUAACACAUGCAAGUCGAGCGCGAUUAAGUGGAGUGAGAACUUCGGUUCAAGUGAAGCUUAUGAAAGCGGCGGACGGGUGAGUAACGCGUGGGUAACCUGCCCCAUACAAAGGGAUAGCCACUGGAAACGGUGAUUAAUACCUUAUAAGUCGGUAGUCUCGCAUGAGACAGCCGACAAAGAUUUAUCGGUAUGGGAUGGACCCGCGUCUGAUUAGCUAGUUGGUGAGGUAACGGCUCACCAAGGCGACGAUCAGUAGCCGACCUGAGAGGGUGAUCGGCCACACUGGAACUGAGACACGGUCCAGACUCCUACGGGAGGCAGCGGUGGGGAAUAUUGCACAAUGGGCGCAAGCCUGAUGCAGCAACGCCGCGUGAGUGAUGAAGGCUUUCGGGUCGUAAACUCUGUCCUAUGGGAAGAAAAAAUAGACGGUACCAUAGGAGGAAGUCCCGGCUAACUACGUGCCAGCA
rnacentral:rRNA from 1 species